rnacentral:rRNA from 1 species
UGGGGAAUCUUGGACAAUGGGCGCAAGCCUGAUCCAGCCAUGCCGCGUGGAUGAUGAAGGCCUUAGGGUUGUAAAAUCCUUUCGUGGGGACGAUAAUGACGGUACCCCAAGAAGAAGCUCCGGCUAACUUCGUGCCAGCAGCCGCGGUAAUACGGAGGAUCCAAGCGUUAUCCGGAAUCAUUGGGUUUAAAGGGUCCGUAGGCGGUUAGAUAAGUCAGUGGUGAAAGCCCAUCGCUCAACGGUGGAACGGCCAUUGAUACUGUCUGACUUGAAUUAUUAGGAAGUAACUAGAAUAUGUAGUGUAGCGGUGAAAUGCUUAGAGAUUACAUGGAAUACCAAUUGCGAAGGCAGGUUACUACUAAUGGAUUGACGCUGAGGUGCGAAAGCGUGGGGAGCAAACAGGAUUAGAUACCCACGUAGUCCCUGAGCGGGCUGGCAAGGCGCAU